rnacentral:rRNA from 1 species
UACGAAGGGGGGCUAGCGUUGCUCGGAAUUACUGGGCGUAAAGCGCGCGUAGGUGGUUUGUUAAGUUGAAUGUGAAAUCCCCCGGGCUCAACCUGGGAACUGCAUCCAAAACUGGCAAGCUAGAGUAUGGUAGAGGUGAGUGGAAUUCCCAGUGUAGCGGUGAAAUGCGUAGAUAUUGGGAGGAACACCAGUGGCGAAGGCGGCUCACUGGACCACAACUGACGCUGAGGCGCGAAAGCUAGGGGAGCAAACAGG